ACCUAGCUGGCUCAGUCAGUGGAACACAUGACUCUUAAUCUCGAGGUUGUGGGUUUGAACCCCACAUUGGGUG
rnacentral:tRNA from 1 species